rnacentral:rRNA from 1 species
UUCNGGGAAACUGUGAGACAUGGUGCUGCAUGGCUGAUCGCUCAGACUCGUGUAUGUGAAAUGUGGGUUCAAGUCCCGCAACGAGCGCAACCCUUAUUCUUUGGUUGGCCAGCGGUUCAGGCCGGGUAACUCAAAGGAGACUGCCAGUGAUAAACUGGAGGAAGGUGGCGGAUGACGUCAAGUCAUCAUGGCCCUUACGACCAGGGCUACACACGUGCUACAAUGGCAUAUACAAGAGAGAAGCGACCUCGCGAGAGCAAGCGGACCUCAUAAAGUAUGUCGUAGUCCGGAUUGGAGUCUGCAACUCGACUCCAUGAAGUCGGAAUCGCUAGUAAUCGUAGAUCAGAAUGCUACGGUGAAUACGUUCCCGGGUCUUGUACA